rnacentral:lncRNA from 1 species
UAGUGGAAGAAAGUCAUAUUCUCCUGGGACUCAUCAUGAAUUUCAUAAAGACUGAAGAGAAUACAUCAUUCAGUGCUACAGGAAAUGACGAAGGUACCAGACCUGAAGCAUCAAAGGAUACUGUCAUAGAGGAGGCGUGUUCGGGCACACCUGUUGAUCAGUCUCUGUCUGACAUACGAGAAUGUAACAGCACCAUUAAAGUUAAAAGCGAAGUCAGCGAGCAUGAAACAUCCUCUGAACGACAGAACCCACACGUGAGCACCAGUGAAAAAUGUCGUUUCACCUUUAGUUUGAAUGAACGCCGCAGAAAGUCAGACCGUAGUGUGUUUACAGCAUUUGGUGGGCCCAAUGAGAAUAUCUGUUCAGUUCUGAGUGCUCAUGACCAUUUCAGUGAAAGGAUGAAGAAACAUGUAUAUGAGAACAUCAUUGUUUAUGAAGAAAAAACAAUACAAGCGCAUAUAAAUUUAGGAAUGCCUCUCAGAUGCCUACCUAGUGGUUCCCAUUUGAAAAUAACAUUUGGUCAAAAAAGGAGUAACCAGGAAGAUGAUCAGAUAUUACGCCUCUGUAAAAAUCCAGAUGCUGAAUGCAUUCUUUUUCACAUUGUUGCUAUUGGGAAGACCAUAAAGAAGAUUCUUAAGAUUAAGGAACUUCAUGAACCAGGAACUACAGUUCUCGUCUAUGCCUUGAAGGGUGAGACUAUCAAAGAAGCCCUUUGCAAUGAUGGCCGAUUUCGCUCAGAUCUAGACAUACUUAAAUGGAGAGUAACAGAAGGUUACAAUAAAAUUUAUGGAAAACAGUCCAUGGUGGAUGAAGUAUCUGGAAAAGUCUUAGAACUGGACAUUCCUAAAAAGCUGUCUGUCAAGAAAUGUACCCAUAAAAAAAUUAAACCAGAAGAUGAAAAUGCCACUGAAGGUAUCAGUCCACAGGCUUUAACACAGUCUAAGAGCAAAGUCGAUGAACCAAAGAAAGAUGGAGAAACUGAAGAUGCAGAACACAACAGAGAAAAAAUUCUCCCAUGUCAGAGUCUAGGGCUUGAUAUUAAACAGAAGACAUGCCGGUCCAUUUCCAAAAUUAAACAUUAUUACAAUAGUAUUCCCUACAAAAGACUUAGGAGAAAAACCACACAAGUUAGGCGAAGGCUCUCUCUAGGUAAGCAAUAUGAUAUUCAGAAAAUCCGAAGGGAGACAACUAAUCUCUGGGUAAAGAAUUUACAAAUAUUGAACAAAGUUAUGAUGCCUCAGUAUCCAAAUUUUAAUAAAGAGGCACUUCGGAUACAAAAGUAUUUUCAGGAAGAACAGAAGAGAAUGAAACUGUCAACGUUUAAACAAUUCAGAGUGUAUAAAAAUUACUUUGGAAAAGUGACUGAAAAUUCUGUUUCAGUUGCAAUCUGUGAACGUCUUGUUCAUCUUAGUAAGUCAGUUGGAUUCAUAAAAUGGGACAAUAAUGGAAACACAGGCAAUGCUACUUGCUUUGUUUUCAACAAAAAUUUUAUUUUCACCUGUAGACAUGUUUUACACUUCAUUGUGGGAGAAGGUACAGAUCCAGAGUCAUGGCCAGGUAUAAUAAGCACAUGUGCCAAGGUCACUUUUGCUUAUAAAGAGUUCUGCCCUAACUAUGUUGAUUGGCUUUCCUUUGAGCCAUGGUUUCUGAUGUCUGAUGAAACUCUAGAUUAUGCCAUUUUAAAACUAAGUGAAAAUGGAAAUGGAUUUCCUCCAGGCCUGUCAAAACUGAUUUUGCCUCAGCCAUCUAGUGGUUUACUUUAUUUAAUUGGUCACCCAGAAGGCCAGAUCAAGAAAAUAGAUGGUUGUUCUGUGAUUUCCCUAGAGCAACGGUUAGAGAGGUGCAAAGAACAUUAUUCAGAUGGGGUAGUACCAGGAUCCUGUUCAGACAUUUAUAAUGCUUUCCCUAUGUUUACCCAGAGAAGUUUCCUGUCAGACGUUUGCAGCACUAACACACUUAGUUAUGAUACUUGUUUUUUUAGUGGGUCUUCUGGCUCCCCAGUGUUUAAUGCAUCUGGCAGGUUGGUUGCUAUGCACUCCUUUGGGUAUGUUUAUAACUGUGUAAAUAAGCCUUAUGCCUUUAUUGAAUUUGGCUAUUCUAUGGAAUCUAUUCUUUGUGAUAUUAAACAGAAAGAUGAGAACUUGUACAAAUCAUUACAAGAAGAGAAAAAUGAGAGCCACAAUGAAGAGAAAGGUAACAAACAAGAACUGUCACUUCAAGAAAAUCAGGUUGAAUCCAUGCAAUAUUAG